UACGUAGGGGGCAAGCGUUGUCCGGAAUCAUUGGGCGUAAAGAGCGUGUAGGCGGCUCGGUAAGUCCGCUGUGAAAGUCCAGGGCUCAACCCUGGAAAGCCGGUGGAAACUGUCGAGCUCGAGUCCGGAAGAGGCGAGUGGAAUUCCUGAUGUAGCGGUGAAAUGCGCAGAUAUCAGGAGGAACACCAAUGGCGAAGGCAGCUCGCUGGGACGGUACUGACGCUGAGACGCGAAAGCGUGGGGAGCAAACAGG
rnacentral:rRNA from 1 species